GAAGAAGGUUCUUGCAAACGCUGCGGUCCGGUUGUUAAGCGCAGCUGUGCUUAAAUUUCAAAUAAAAAUGGGGGCUGUUGAAGAUUUUACAGAAAUCCGCCCGGAUUCCAACUUUUAUCCACAAGUUGGUGGUUAUUCUCCGAAAAGCUGCCAGCCGUGUGUGAGGAAGAAGAGCUGGUUUCGUUCAGCCAGCCACGUGGUUACAAAACGAAGAGAGACACGUUUUACUCGAAAAUCAGAUUGUCUCCCAGCAGCAGGAAUCGGCUCCCAAGGAAGAGGAAAAAGGUGUUUAUUAUUCACACUUCCUAUAUUGCGGUAAUGCAGGACGUUCCUCGUCUGUAACCCUAACCCUGCAAGCCUAGAGCCUGGAAGCAUAGAAAGAGAGACCCUGUGAAGAUUCAAAGGCUUGACUCCGAAGAUUUGAACUGGAAUUUCUUCAUCCUUAAAGAUGAUUGAAGAGGUAACAGAGGAUGACUUUUAGCAAGAAUGUGUCUUGCCAACAAAGUUUCUUUAGAACAAGUUAAAGAACUUCAAAACUGUCGCCCUGCAGGCUUCCAUCCAUAGAUAUCCUGUCCUUUUUGUGCGGGUCAUAUUACAAUGGAGGGGACCAAACCACCGCAUUGAGCAGACCGUUGAAGUGAAAUGAGUCGUACGUUCUGGACAGUGUGAACAACUUGAAAACGUCAGGAAGACUUAAAACUUGGGCAAUCGUCUGUGCUGCUUUUUUUUUUAUUGCUGGCUGUUCCUUGACUCUUGGUGUUCUUGUUGCGGUUUGUCAGAGGCGAUUACAGGUUCAGGGGUUUUCUUGCAUCAGCAGCAAGCACACAUUCAGCGUUUAGCUUUUUUAACCAGGAAGGUUUUGUGAUGCAGAAAGUCUUUGUUUUGGACAGUGUAUUGAACUUUUGAUAAAUAUAUUUCUCGAGAAAUGCUGCAAGGGUGAAUGUAUUUCCCUUAAUGGAAAAUAAAAUAAGUUGGACAUUUUACUGAAGGACAGACGUCAGUGCACAGUAUUUAAAAUUCAGUUAGACAGUCAGUGUGGCCUGUUAAACAAUUUAUAGGAUCACCAUUUCAAAGCAUUUUUAUGGGCAGUUGUACAGAAAAAAGAAGAUAUCUAGAAGUACGUAUCAA